rnacentral:tRNA from 1 species
GCCUGGGUGGCUCAGUAGGUUGAGCUUCUGACUUUGGCUCAGGUAAUGAUCUCAUGUUCUGUGGGAUUGAGCCCCGUGUCAGGCU